GCCAGGUGUAGUGGUGUGCACCUGUAAUCCCAGCUACUCGGGAGGCUGAGGCAGGAGAAUUGCUUGAACCCGGGAGUCAGAGGUUGCAGUGAGCCGAAAUGUCGCCACUGCCCUCCAGCCUCGGUGACAGAGUGAGAUCCUGUCUCAA
rnacentral:SRP_RNA from 1 species